rnacentral:tRNA from 1 species
GGAGCGAUGUCCGAGCUGGUCGAAGGAGCACGACUGGAAAUCGUGUAGCGGGUCCCAAAACUCGCUCGUGGGUUCGAAUCCCACUCGCUCCGCCA